rnacentral:rRNA from 1 species
AUUGAACGCUGGCGGCAUGCCUAACACAUGCAAGUCGAACGGAUCCUUCGGGAUUAGUGGCGGACGGGUGAGUAACACGUGGGAACGUGCCCUUUGGUUCGGAACAACUCAGGGAAACUUGAGCUAAUACCGGAUGUGCCCUUCGGGGGAAAGAUUUAUCGCCAUUGGAGCGGCCCGCGUCUGAUUAGCUAGUUGGUGAGGUAAAGGCUCACCAAGGCGACGAUCAAUAGCUGGUCUGAGAGGAUGAUCAGCCACAUUGGGACUGAGACACGGCCCAAACUCCUACGGGAGGCAGCAGUGGGGAAUCUUGCGCAAUGGGCGAAAGCCUGACGCAGCCAUGCCGCGUGAAUGAUGAAGGUCUUAGGAUUGUAAAAUUCUUUCACCGGGGACGAUAAUGACGGUACCCGGAGAAGAAGCCCCGGCUAACUUCGUGCCAGCCGCCGCGGUAA